UGAGGAGCAAUUGUCCCGAAAAAAACCAGCAGAGAGAAGAAGCUCCGAAAUAGGACUGAACACCGACUGAGUCAUGGCCUCCAGGAAGUACACAGCCACCCAGUUUUGUACCUCUGCCUUGAGGAUCCAUAGUUGUCUAACAUCUGAGUACUGGCCAACUCCAGGUUCCAGUCACAUGUCGCCAGAAGCUGCAGACAUUCUGCCCUGCUCCUCAGACCCAAACAGAACAACUGCUCCACCUGCGGAGACAAACAGAAACUAAACUUUGGCUACAUCACCACCUUGAAUAUUGGUGCCUACUCUAAGGAAGUCCCCAUUGCCAAAGAAGUUACCGAUGACUAACUACAGGACUGAAGAAAAAACAUCACAUCAGUGCCCUCUAGUGGUGUGAAAAUAAGGAACUGGACAGCUCUCUGGACAUUCCACUUAUGCUUCCAGAGGGCAGCUUGACACUCCUCUAUGGUUACACCAUGAACUGCCUCCUGCACCUGAAACACAGAGAAAAUGUGACAUUGGAGAUACAUUUAAUUUAUUUUA